rnacentral:rRNA from 1 species
GACGAACGCUGGCGGCGUGCCUAACACAUGCAAGUCGAACGGAGAACUUAUGGAAUGCGACUUCGGUCAAAUGAAGUAAGUUCUUAGUGGCGGACGGGCGAGUAACGCGUGAGCAACCUGCCCUUCAGAGGGGAACAACAGUUGGAAACGACUGCUAAUACCGCAUAACGUCAUUUGAGGGCAUCCUCGAAUGACCAAAGAUUUAUCGCUGAAGGAUGGGCUCGCGUCCGAUUAGCUAGUUGGUGAGAUAACAGCCCACCAAGGCGACGAUCAGUAGCCGACCUGAGAGGGUGAUCGGCCACAUUGGGACUGAGACACGGCCCAA